rnacentral:tRNA from 1 species
GCGAGCGUAGUCUAGUUGGUUAGGACGGAAGCUUCCCAAGCUUUUGACCCGGGUUCGAAUCCCGGCGCUCGCA